rnacentral:rRNA from 1 species
CCUACGGGAGGCAGCAGUGGGGAAUUUUGGACAAUGGGCGAAAGCCUGAUCCAGCAAUGCCGCGUGAGUGAAGAAGGCCUUCGGGUUGUAAAGCUCUUUUGUCAGGGAAGAAACGGUGAGAGCUAAUAUCUCUUGCUAAUGACGGUACCUGAAGAAUAAGCACCGGCUAACUACGUGCCAGCAGCCGCGGUAAUACGUAGGGUGCAAGCGUUAAUCGGAAUUACUGGGCGUAAAGCGUGCGCAGGCGGUUUUGUAAGUCUGAUGUGAAAUCCCCGGGCUCAACCUGGGAAUUGCAUUGGAGACUGCAAGGCUAGAAUCUGGCAGAGGGGGGUAGAAUUCCACGUGUAGCAGUGAAAUGCGUAGAUAUGUGGAGGAACACCGAUGGCGAAGGCAGCCCCCUGGGUCAAGAUUGACGCUCAUGCACGAAAGCGUGGGGAGCAAACAGGAUUAGAUACCCUGGUAGUCCACGCCCUAAACGAUGUCUACUAGUUGUCGGGUCUUAAUUGACUUGGUAACGCAGCUAACGCGUGAAGUAGACCGCCGUGGGGAGUUACGGUUGCAAGAUUAAAACUUCAAAGGAUUGACGG